AUUGAACGCUGGCGGCAUGCCUUACACAUGCAAGUCGAACGGUAACAGGUUAAGCUGACGAGUGGCGAACGGGUGAGUAAUGUAUCGGAACGUGCCCAGUCGUGGGGGGAUAACGUAGCGAAAGCUACGCUAAUACCGCAUACGAUCUAUGGAUGAAAGCGGGGGAUCGCAAGACCUCGCGCGAUUGGAGCGGCCGAUAUCAGAUUAGGUAGUUGGUGGGUAAAGGCCCACCAAGCCGACGAUCUGUAGCUGGUCUGAGAGGACGACCAGCCACACUGGGACUGAGACACGGCCCAGACUCCUACGGGAGGCAGCAGUGGGGAAUUUUGGACAAUGGGCGCAAGCCUGAUCCAGCAAUGCCGCGUGCAGGAUGAA
rnacentral:rRNA from 1 species